rnacentral:rRNA from 1 species
AUACGGAGGGUGCAAGCGUUGUUCGGAAUCACUGGGCGUAAAGGGCGCGCAGGCGGUUUUACAAGUCAGAUGUGAAAGCCCACGGCUCAACCGUGGAAGUGCAUUUGAAACUGUAAGACUUGAGUAUCAGAGGGGAAGGUGGAAUUCCCGGUGUAGAGGUGAAAUUCGUAGAUAUCGGGAGGAAUACCGGUGGCGAAGGCGACUUUCUGGCUGAAUACUGACGCUGAGGCGCAAAAGCGUGGGGAGCAAACAGGAUUAGAAACCCUAGUAGUCC